rnacentral:lncRNA from 1 species
UGGAGUUCCUGAGGCGCUGCCGCCUCCAGGUGGGGAUGAAGAACAACGUGAGCUGGGAGCUCAACCCCGACAUUGUGGCCCGGCACUUCCUCAAAAACGUGAACGGCCUGGACACCGUGCGGGUUCCCAUGGACGUGGUUCAGUUCCUGCACCCCAAAACCAAACGCUUCCGCCAUUGGCAGCAGCAGCAGCAGCAGCAGCUGGAGAGCAGCAGGGAGAGGCUCCUCUGACCCCCCCUGAAGAUUUGGGGGUCCCCGGGGUGGAUUUGGGGGUCCCCGGGGUGGAUUUGGGGUCCCCAGAAUGGAUUUGGGGGUCCCUGGGAUGGAUUUGGGGUCCCCAGGGUGAAUUUGGGGUCCCCAGAAUGGAUUUAGGGGUUCCCCCCUUUUUUGGGAACCUGUGGGAUUUCCCAAAGGAAUCCACCAUAAAAGGGGAUCAGGAAUUUUUUUGGGACAUCCCAAAAUUUUUUUUUGGGGGGGGGGAUCCCAAAGUUUUUUGGGGUCUCAGAGAUUUUGGGGGGGGAUCUGGGAAUUUUGGGGA